AUGAAGUUGCAUUAUCAUCCCGGAAAGGCUAACAUAGUAGCCGAUGCGUUGAGCCGCAAGAGCCAUGUCAAUACACUCAUGACUGGAGAGUUACCCAAGGAGUUAGCAGAGGAUCUUCGUGAGCUAUGUUUGAAAAUAGUUCCGAGAGGUUAUGUAACAACAUUGGAGAUUCAGACUACUUUGAUGGAUAAGAUCAAAGAAGCUCAGAAGACGGACAAGGAGAUUGCUAAGAUAAAAGAGAGGAUGAGCAAAGGAAAAGCUAAGGGAUUUCGUGAGGAUGAGCACGAUACCUUAUGGUUUGAGGAUCGUGUUUAUGUGCCUAAUGAUUCGGAGAUCAGGAAGUUGAUUCUGCAAGAGGCCCAUGAUUCGCCGUAUUCGAUUCACCCAGGAAAUACCAAGAUGUAUCUGGAUUUGAAGAAUAGUUUCUGGUGGACCAGAAUGAAGAAGGAUAUUGUGGAGUAUGUAGCAGUUUGUGAUGUAUGUCAGAGAGUGAAGGCAGAACAUCAGAAGUCAGCUGGAUUGAUACAUCCAUUGCCGAUACCCGAAUGGAAGUGGGAUAAACUAGGCAUGGACUUUAUCAUGGGAUUGCCCAGGACCCGUUCAGGCUAUGACUCGAUAUGGGUUGUAGUCGAUCGUUUGACGAAGGUAGCUCAUUUCAUUCCAGUCAAGACCACGUACACCAAUUCUAAGUUGGCAAAGAUAUACAUGACUAGGAUCGUAUGUCUGCAUGGAGUUCCGAGGACCAUCGUAUCAGAUAGAGGAACCCAGUUUACCUCAAAGUUUUGGAAUCAGUUGCAUGAGACUCUGGGAAUCAGGCUAGAGUUCAGUACAACCUUUCACCCGCAGACAGACGGACAAACUGAGAGAGUCAAUCAAAUUUUGGAAGACAUGUUGAGAGCUUGUGCGCUAGACUAUGGAUCUAGUUGGGACGACAAUUUGCCUUAUAUAGAGUUCUCUUACAACAACAACUAUCAAGCCAAUAUGAAGAUGGCCCCUUUCGAAGCAUUGUACGGAAGGAGGUGCAGGACACCAUUGUUGUGGGAUGAAGUUGGAGACCGUCAGUUAUUUGGACCAGAUUUGAUUAAAGAGUCUGAAGAGAAGGUUAAGCUGAUUCGUGAUAGACUCAAGGUAGCCCAGUCCAGGCAGAAGAGUUAUGCGGAUUCUAAACGCAAGGAGAUAGUUCACGAAGUUGGAGACAGAGUGUAUCUUCGUGUAUCACCACUCCGAGGAGUGAAGCGCUUUGGAGUUAAGGAAAAGUUAGCACCACAUUUUAGGGGACCAUACCGUGUUUUGGAACGUAUGGGAGAAGUUGCUUACAAGUUGGAAUUGCCCGAAUGA
rnacentral:rRNA from 1 species